UUGGAGGAUGAGGGGUCAACUUUGCAAAUGGAUGAGUGAUCGUUAGAAGAUCCUUAGUCCCCUGGUCUUCUUGACACAUGAGGUAUAUACUUCUAGUCCAUAUUGGGGGGAGACUCCACGUCGAUUUAUCGAGUAAAAUUCUGUAUACAUAUUGAUAAUGACAAUAUGUACAUUUGUCUUGACUAAUUACGUGCCAGCAGUCGCGGCAAUACGUAAGAGACUAGUGUUAAUCAUCAUAAAUAGGUUUAAAGGGUACUCAGACGGAAAAAUUCGCCCAAAUAUAGGGGACAAUUUUUCUAGAGUUUUAUGUAAGAAGGUCGUACUCUAGAGUGGAGAGAUAAAAUUCUGUGAUACCUAGGGGACGGGUAAAGGCGAAGGCAAUCUUUUAUGUAAAAACUGACGUCGAAGGACGAAGGCAAAGGGAACAAAAAGGAUUAGAUACCCCAGUAGUCUUUGCAGACAAUUAUGAAUGCCAUAGGUUAGAUUUUUAAUUUAGUCUAUAAAUGAAAGUGUAAGCAUUUCACCUCAAGAGUAAGGCGGCAACGCAGGAACUGAAAUCACUAGACCGUUUCUGACACCAGCAAUGAAGUAUGUUAUUUAAUUCGGUGACCCACGAAAAACCUUACCACAAUUUGAAUAUUAAUAAUAAUGAUAUUAUUUUUUAUGCUUGAUAUGGCAAGCACUCAAUUUUCCCCCUCCCCGCAGGUUUGCGGCGGGGGGGGAGAAAAAAGAAAAAUAAUGGAUAAUAUAGUAAAUACCAUAUUCCAACUAUAUUUAAUUAUUAAUACAAGUGUUGCACGGCUGUCUUCAGUUGAUGUUGCGAAACUGUGGUUCGUUCCAUGGAAUUAACGUAAACCCUUGCUUUAUUUGUAAAUAUUAUAAAGCAGUUCACCUUUAUAUAGGAAAUGAUAAAAGGGAUCAA
rnacentral:rRNA from 1 species